AUUGAACGCUGGCGGCAUGCUUUACACAUGCAAGUCGAACGGUAACAGGCCGCAAGGUGCUGACGAGUGGCGCACGGGUGUGUAAUGCAUCGGAACGUGCCCAGUCGUGGGGGGUAACUACUCGAAAGAGGAGCUAAUACCGCAUACGAUCUAUGGGUGAAAACGGGGGACCGUAAGGCCUCGCGCGAUUGGAGCGGCCGAUGGCAGAUUAGGUAGUUGGUGGGGUAAAGGCUCACCAAGCCAACGAUCUGUAGCUGGUCUGAGAGGACGACCAGCCACACUGGGACUGAGACACGGCCCAGACUCCUACGGGAGGCAGCAGUGGGGAAUUUUGGACAAUGGGCGCAAGCCUGAUCCAGCAAUGCCGCGUGCAGGAAGAAGGCCUUCGGGUUGUAAACUGCUUUUGUACGGAACGAAACGGCUCUGGUUAAUACCCGGGGCUAAUGACGGUACCGUAAGAAUAAGCACCGGCUAACUACGUG
rnacentral:rRNA from 1 species